CCAACUCAACCAAACCCCAAAUUUUCAAUUUCACUUCAUCUUCACCAGUCAAUAGGCAGCUAAACCCCUGAACCCUAAUUUAUUUUCAGAUAAUUCAAUUUCGAUUUUAAUUUCUCUUUGCCACCAUCUCAAUGGGAUCAUAUUGCCGGAGAUUCAUCUCCAAAUCAUCUCUGUCGUCUAUUAAAUCCGCAAUCAAAUCCAACGCUCCAAAAUCUCCCUCUCGGCCUCCUUCACCGCCUUCUUCUUCCGCUCCUCGUCGCAUAUCCUUUACUUCCAGGUCUCCGUUUGAAUUGGGAGGCGUUCAGUCGCUACUGCCGUUACACAGCACGGUGGCUGCGGCGAGGAUGACGUCAUGCUUGAGUACUACAUCGAGGAAUUGUCGUGCGCUCUCUCAGGGUACACUCUGCUGCACCUCUCCUGGCCUCUAAUGCCUAACUUUUAUUACUCUUUUUGUUUUACCGCACAUAAUUUUCUAAAGAAAUAAACUCGGGACCUGUCAAUUAUGGCCCGCUGCAUCUUUAUCAAAUGGAGUUGAUGGUACGUGAAACUUGUGUGCUGUUUUUGGAGAGCUUGGUCUGUCUGUUCCAAGGUGACUUGUGAGAAGGAAAUUACUGAAGCUGAAGAUUUCUUUACAUGAUUGGAGAAGCAAAGCCUAUUAGCUUUUCCUUUUAUGAAGAUUUUUGUUAAUUUAUAAAUGCCGCUGAACCCUUAAAGCAGUGGAGCUAAUAUUGGUUCUUCAUAGCCGAGAAGAUUAUCUUCUUAUUCUUACUCUUACAUAUAACAAUUGGAUUCUAUUGUUUAAUACUAUCAAAAUAUGUUAUUCCUGUUGAAAGGUUUGCAAAA